AAAAGGUCUGAUUUAUGCUCACAUCAGUUUGAAGGCCACGUACAACAAAAUGCUCUCAACUAAAAACCGCUCGUGACUUAAAGCAUCUAAUAAUUCAUUUACUGAAGAGAGAGUAGCUCAUAAAAAAGUGCAAAGCACAGAAGCAAGAGACUUAAUUCCUUAUCAGCAACAGAUAUUGUGAGCAAGACUUAAAAUCAAGCUGUUGACAGCCCAGUUGAAAUUACUCUGAAUGAAUGCUAAUCUUGAAAAGGCAUGUUUUGUCGGGCUUCGAGUGAAUUGUUUGUUGACAUAGUUCAGGAGACAAACCACUGAGGUCUGAACUACCCACUCAGACCAAAGAUUUGACGAAGAUUUUGCAUGACAUUUCUUCAUGGCCAUCACAAGUGGAAAUACACUAUUAGACGAUAAAGAGUCUCGUUUGUCUAAUUAUGUAUAAUUCAUAUCUGCUCAGAUUCUUCUCGUCUUUCGUAAAAAACAACCAUAUGUAGCAAGCUCCAAUUGAAUUUCUUCUUAAAAAUGUGUGUCUUUGUGUAUUUUCAACAUGCUUUGACUAAGAUUGUUCGUGAUAGAUACACAACGACUCCAAAACUCUGCUCUCCCUGCUUUAUUGCAAAGAAAUGGUUUCAGAGGAUAACUUAUUUCAGCACCUCCGUAAGUGAACGCCAUGUACAAAAUUGUCAAAAGUUCGGCACUCAGUUGAUUAAUAAACUGUAUAUGUUUUGGUAAAGAAUUUCUUGCAAGCAUGAAAAUAAAUGUGAUAUUAGGCGUAGUUGAAAAGGCAUUUUCUUAGAUUGUAUAACUCCGUGAUAUUGAUGGUGAAGACACAAGUGAUGUAUGGUGAACUUAGUGCAUGCAACAGUUGCAACUUCAACUCGAAGUAAAAAUGAUAUUUCUGUAUAUAACCGUUUUAAGCUUCACUUUUCCUUUAUUACCAUUUUACAACAUCAGUA